CUACAAGGUGUUGAAAGUGUUCCACAGGGAUGCUGGCCCAUGUUGACUCUACAAGGUGAUGAAAGUGUUCCACAGGGAUGCUGGCCCAUGUUGACUCUACAAGGUGAUGAAAGCGUUCCACAGGGAUGCUGGCCCAUGUUGACUCUACAAGGUGAUGAAAGCGUUCCACAGGGAUGCUGGCCCAUGUUGACUCUACAAGGUGAUGAAAGCGUUCCACAGGGAUGCUGGCCCAUGUUGACUCUACAAGGUGAUGAAAGUGUUCCACAGGGAUGCUGGCCCAUGUUGACUCUACAAGGUGAUGAAAGCGUUCCACAGGGAUGCUGGCCCAUGUUGACUCUACAAGGUGAUGAAAGCGUUCCACAGGGAUGCUGGCCCAUGUUGACUCUACAAGGUGUUGAAAGCGUUCCACAGGGAUGCUGGUCCAUGUUGACUCUACAAGGUGUAGAAAGCGUUCCACAGGGAUGCUGACCCAUGUUGACUCUACAAGGUGUUGAAAGCGUUCCACAGGGAUGCUGGCCCAUGUUGACUCUACAAGGUGUUGAAAGCGUUCCACAGGGAUGCUGGCCCAUGUUGACUCUACAAGGUGUUGAAAGCGUUCCACAGGGAUGCUGGUCCAUGUUGACUCUACAAGGUGUUGAAAGCGUUCCACAGGGAUGCUGGCCCAUGUUGACUGCAAUGUUUCCCACAGAUGUGUCAAGUUGACUGGAUGUCCUUUGAGGAAACUGUUGAGUGUGAAAAAACCCUGCAGCGUUGCAGUUCUUGACACACUCAAACCGGUAGCCCUGGCACCAACUACCAUACCCCUUUCAAGGGCACUUAAAUAGUUUGUCUUGCCAGUUCACCCUCUGAAUGGCACACAGUCACAAUCCAUGUCUCGGCUGUCACUGAUUUGAAGUGGAUUUAACAAAGUGACAUCAAUAAAGGAACAGCUUUCACCUGGUCAGUCUGUCAUGGAAAGAGCAGGUGUUCUUAAUGUUUUGUCCGCUCAGUGGAUACUACUACACUACCGAACUACUACUACUACUACUACUACUACUACUGCUACUGCUACCAAUAUACUACUACCACCAAUACACUACUACUACCAAUCUACUACUACUACUACUACCGAUAUACUACUACCACCAAUACACUACUACCAAUCUACUACUACUACAACUACCGAUAUACUACUACCACCAAUACACUACUACUACCAAUCUACUACUACUACUACCGAUAUACUACUACACUAACAAUAUACUACUACCACCACCAAUACACUACUAAUACCAAUCUACUACUACACUACCGAUAUACUACUACCACCAAUACACUAAUACACUACCAAUA